rnacentral:lncRNA from 1 species
UUUUGGGCAUCUUCAAAUGUUGAAAUUGGAACCUGGCAAUGUGCCAUUGCACACAACCUAUUUCCCUUAUACCAAUUGGCUUGUGCAACUGGCCAGCAGGUCGUGCUGGCCCGACAGGCAGGAAAGCAUGCUGAGGGGCCUUCACGGAAGCCCACUUGGCCACAGGCCCAGCAUGAGGAAUUUCCUCUUAAGCUGGAUUUUCAGACAAGUUGGGCUGCUUGGGAAAUAAUCAUAA